rnacentral:rRNA from 1 species
GAUGAACGCUAGCGGCAGGCCUAAUACAUGCAAGUCGAACGAGAUUAAGGGGCUUGCUCCUUAUGAAAGUGGCGCACGGGUGCGUAACGCGUAUGCAACCUACCUCAAUCAGGGGGAUAGCCCGAAGAAAUUCGGAUUAACACCGCAUAAAAACACAGGAUAGCAUUAUCUAAUGUUCAAAUUAUUUAUAGGAUUGAGAU